CNGUAAACGAUGAGUGCUAGGUGUUAGGCCCUUUCCGGGGCUUAGUGCCGGAGCUAACGCAAUAAGCANUCCGCCUGGGGAGUACGACCGCAAGGUUGAAACUCAAAGGAAUUGACGGGGGCCCGCACAAGCGGUGGAGCAUGUGGUUUAAUUCGGAGCAACGCGAAGAACCUUACCAGGUCUUGACAUCCCGAUGCUAUUCUUAGAGAUAGGAAGUUACUUCGGUACAUCGGAGACAGGUGGUGCAUGGUUGUCGUCAGCUCGUGUCGUGAGAUGUUGGGUUANNNNNNNNNNNGAGCGCAACCCUUAUUGUUAGUUGCCAUCAUUAAGUUGGGCACUCUAGCGAGACUGCCGGUAAUAAACCGGAGGAAGGUGGGGAUGACGUCAAAUCAUCAUGCCCCUUAUGACCUGGGCUACACACGUGCUACAAUGGUCGGUACAACGAGUUGCGAGCCGGUGACGGCAAGCUAAUCUCUGAAAGCCGAUCUCAGUUCGGAUUGGAGGCUGCAACUCGCCUCCAUGAAGUCGGAAUCGCUAGUAAUCGCGGAUCAGCACGCCGCGGUGAAUACGUUCCCGGGCCU
rnacentral:rRNA from 1 species